rnacentral:lncRNA from 1 species
UGCUCUGUCUGGCAACAGCCUACCAAGUCUCAUCCACCAGUUUUUCCUGAGGACAAGGAGCCUCUUAAAUCUGAACUAUGGUGAAGUGUUUUAGUUUGAGAUCCCGGGAAAUAGACUCUGAGACAAAGAACUUUGGGACUUCACAUCAUUGGAAGGUGAAUAGAAAAGUAUGUCUUAAGAAUUUCACCAUGUUUUGGAAGAAUUGCAGCAAGAAAAAAAGAACUCCUUUGUUUCCACCCCAUUUCUUUUAAGGAAAACCUGGAAUAUCUGAGGGUGCAAGCUGAGAAAAGUCUGCUUAUCUGUUCCCUACUCUGGCAAUCAAAAAGGAUCCAAGUCUACUGUUCUCUUCUCCUGGCACUCUUAACUUGCACACAUUGCAACCUUUUAUGGCAAAGUAAUGGUCAAGCUAUCCUAACAAGGACGAGCCCUUAUUAAAUAAUUCACUGUGGUUGGGAAAUGGUGAGGAAGCCAUCUUCUUUUGUCUUCUUUUCUCUGAAAAUAAAAUUUUGUCUAAUUUUGUAUUAAGGACAUUUGGGCUUCACUUUAUUACAUUCUCUACUUUCUUUAAUAGCUCGAAGCUCAUGACAGUACAUGUCUGGUCUUGCAAAACAAGAUGAAUUUGUUAAAUUAAACUUUUAAAAAAAAUCAGUGUAACUGGCCAUCUUUCAUUAUAAAAUAUUUUUUCUCUCAAUUCAAGCCAAUUGUGUGGGGUAUGUGUGUUGUGUGUGUGUGUGUGUGUGUGUGUGUGUCUGCCUUUAUGUGCUGCCUGAAAGCCAUAUGUCCUUCCUCAGGAUAGAAUUUUUAAUUCUAGGUAAUAAAUCUCAAACUUUUGAGAACUAAACUGGAAAUGCCACCUCUGACUUAUCAAUUGUUUCUGGCCUGUGCUUCUACAAAACACACAGCACAUAUUUUCUAACCAUAAUUGAAACCAUUUUAAAAUAGUGUUUUUGGAGGAGUGAAUCUAUGUGAAACUUCUGUAAGCUAUUUGUAGGACAGCCGUGAAAAUCCUCCAUGUUCUAUGCAUUGGAUUUUUUUUCCUCCUUACUCACAAGGAUCAUCUUCAGGUUAAUAUCACAGAAAUUGGGACAACUUAGUGUUCGAGAAAUAGAGAAAUAGCUCAAGGAGCUAUUAGAUACCAACCCAUACCAUGUUGUUUUCUGAGGGUGGGAGAAACUAGAAGAAAGUUUGACAUUACUCUCAUUCCAUGAGACAACCUCAAGAACACAAACCCAAACUAUCCAGGUAGGACUUUUAGUUUAGGGAGACCACCAAAAGAACUGGAGCCCAUUUCCUCUGGUGAUUCAACAAGAUUAACAGCCCCUCCUGAAGUUUUUGUCCAGUGGCCUAGAAUCUAAAUAUGUGCUCAUACCCAGUUCUUUGUCUUCAAUUCCCGAGUCUUCUGUGUGACUCAUUCUGAAAGUCCAGGUGUGGAAGGGAGAGGCGCAUGGAGGAAAAAGCCAGGCUCAGAAUUUAUAUUUGUUUAAUGCCACAUGUUCCCAAACUAUUUCUGGGCUGUUUCAAAAACUGGUCUGCACAGAUAUUAAUCUCUGUAACCAUAUGUCUGAAACAUUUCAUCACUGGGAAACAGCUGAAAGUAGUUGGUGAGGCUCUGUGGGAUCCAUGUUAGGUAUUGUAAGUAUGGUCAGAAGAAGAGCCUGUAUCUGGAGCUUAUGGGAAAAUAAUGAGAAAUGCCUGUACCUCCUCUUUCUUAUUUUUGAGGUUGGCUGCAUGACUACAGUUGUUAGGCCCAGGUAAGUUUAUUCCCAAAGAGUAAGGGUUGGGAUGGAUGGUAUGUGUGG